rnacentral:rRNA from 1 species
CGCUGGCGGCGUGCCUACACAUGCAAGUCGAGCGAAGCGUAUUUUUUAGCUUGCUAGGAGAUGCGACUGAGCGGCGAACGGGUGAGUAACACGUGGGUGAUCUGCCUGGAAGUCUGGGAUAACAGUUCGAAAGAGCUACUAAUACCGGAUGAAGUUAUUAGUGUAGAGCUAAUAAUCAAAGCGUUACGGAGCGCUUUCAGAUGAGCCCGCGUCCCAUUAGCUAGUUGGUGAGGUAAAGGCUCACCAAGGCGACGAUGGGUAGCCGGUCUGAGAGGAUGGUCGGCCACACUGGAACUGAGACACGGUCCAGACUCCUACGGGAGGCAGCAGUGGGGAAUUUUGCGCAAUGGGGGCAACCCUGACGCAGCGACGCCGCGUGAGCGAAGAAGGCCUCCGGGUUGUAAAGCUCUGUCUGGGGGGAAGAUAGUGACGGUACCCCCGGAGGAAGCCCCGGCUAACUACGUGCCAGCAGCCGCGGUAAGACGUAGGGGGCGAGCGUUGUCCGGAAUUACUGGGCGUAAAGGGCGUGUAGGCGGCCUGCCAAGUCAGCUGUGAAAUUCCUCGGCUUAACCGGGGCCCUGCGGUUGAAACUGGUAGGCUUGAGUGCAGAAGAGGAGGGUGGAAUUCCCAGUGUAGCGGUGAAAUGCGUAGAUAUUGGGAGGAACACCGGUGGCGAAGGCGGCCUUCUGGUCUGUAACUGACGCUGAGGCGCGAAAGCCAGGGGAGCAACAGGGAUUAGAUACCCUGGUAGUCCUGGCUGU